GAUGAACGCUGGCGGCGUGCCUAAUACAUGCAAGUCGAGCGAACAGAUGAGGAUCUUGCUCCUCUGACGUUAGCGGCGGACGGGUGAGUCACACGUGGAUAACCUACCUAUAAUACUGGGAUAACUUCGGGAAACCGGAGCUAAUACCGGAUAAUAUAUUGAACCGCAUGGUUCAAUAGUGAAAGACGGUUUUGCUGUCACUUAUAGAUGGAUCCGCGCCGCAUUAGCUAGUUGGUAAGGUAACGGCUUACCAAGGCGACGAUGCGUAGCCGACCUGAGAGAGUGAUCGGCCACACUGGAACUGAGACACGGACCAGACUCCUACGGGAGGCAGCAGUAGGGAAUCUUCCGCAAUGGGCGAAAGCCUGACGGAGCAACGCCGCGUGAGUGAUGAAGGUCUUCGGAUCGUAAAACUCUGUUAUUAGGGAAGAACAAAUGUGUAAGUAACUAUGCACGUCUUGACGGUACCUAAUCAGAAAGCCACGGCUAACUACGUG
rnacentral:rRNA from 1 species